GACGAACGCUGGCGGCGUGCUUAACACAUGCAAGUCGAACGGUGACCCUCGGAGCUUGCUUCGGGGUGAACAGUGGCGAACGGGUGAGUAACACGUGAGUAACCUGCCCCUGACUCUGGAAUAAGCGCUGGAAACGGCGUCUAAUACCGGAUACGACACGCCUCCGCAUGGGGAGCGUGUGGAAAGUUUUUCGGUCUGGGAUGGACUCGCGGCCUAUCAGCUUGUUGGUGAGGUAAUGGCUCACCAAGGCGAUGACGGGUAGCCGGCCUGAGAGGGCGACCGGCCACACUGGGACUGAGACGCGGCCCAGACUCCUACGGGAGGCAGCAGUGGGGAAUAUUGCACAAUGGGCGAAAGCCUGAUGCAGCGACGCCGCGUGAGGGAUGACGGCCUUCGGGUUGUAAACCUCUUUCAGCAGGGAAGAAGCGAAAGUGACGGUACCUGCAGAAGAAGCACCGGCUAACUACGUGCCAGCCGCCGCCGUAAAAC
rnacentral:rRNA from 1 species